rnacentral:rRNA from 1 species
AUGGUCCUGGAUGCCUUUGCGUCCUAUGUGCUACACAUGCUGACAGAGAUGGCGAGCAAAGAGGUGCACAUGCUGCUUGGAUUCAGACGCGAGAUCGACACGAUGGACAUUAAGCUUAGGGACCUCAAGAACUUCCUCGCCGACUCUGACAGGAGAAACAUCACCGACAAGAGCGUGCAAGAGUGGGUGGCCCAGCUCAAGCGUGCCAUGUAUGAAGCUACCGAUAUCCUCGACCUCUGCCAGCUCAAGGCCAUGGAGCGUGGUAUGUGCACUGCAGAUGUGGGGUGCUUCAACCCCUUGCUCUUCUGCAUGCGGAAUCCCUCCUAUGUCCACGACAUCGGCACCCGCAUAAAGGCGCUCAACAAGAGGCUCGACAUCAUCAAGGAGCGAAGCGCUGCUUUCAGCUUCAUCCCUCUUGGUUCCUAUGAGGAUCGCAGGAGCAAGGUCCAUGGCUCUCAUUCUAUGAAUAAGAGACGUGAAACGUCAGGGGAGUUUGAUCGGUCCGGUGUAGUCGGAGAGAAGAUCGAACAAGACACGAGAAAGCUGGUUGAGAUCAUGCUGAGUGAAAAGGAGGGCAACACCAACAUCAUGGUAGUCGCCGUUGUUGGGGUUGGUGGAAUCGGCAAGACCACUCUUGCCCAGAAGGUCUUCAACGACGAAGCCUUGAAUGCAGAGUUCGAGAAGACGAUAUGGUUGAGCAUCAACAAGGACUUCAACAAGGUUGAGUUGCUCAAGACAAUCAUCACACAAGCGGGGGGAGUACAUGGUGGUGAUCAGGCGUUGGCUGUUCUUCAGCCAAUCCUUGCCACUACCUUGAAAGGGAAGAAGCUAUUCCUGGUGCUGGAUGAUGUGUGGAACCAUGAAGCAUGGGAUGAUGUGCUUAAAACACCCUUGGCUAAUGUUGUGGCUCCAGGUAGCCGAGUCCUCGUCACUACUAGAGAUGAAACAAUAGCUCGAAGGAUGAAAGCUGUGACUCCCCACCACCAUGUGGACAAAUUAGAUGAGGAGGAUGCCUGGUCAUUGCUCAAGAAACAGCUAAUAUCAACUGAGAUUGAUGAUCGUGACAUUGAUAUGCUCAAGGAUAUUGGGGUUCAGAUUCUAGCAAAAUGUGAUGGUUUGCCUCUUGCAGUCAAAGUAAUGGGAGGUCUAUUGUGUCAGAAGGACAAAAAACACCAUGAGUGGGAGAAGGUUCUGGCUGAUUCUAUAUGGUCAAUAUCUGGACUGCCCGAAGAGCUAAACCAUGCAGUAUAUUUAAGCUAUGAAGAUUUGUCUUCUUGUGCCAAACAAUGCUUUCUGCACUACUCACUUCUCCCUAAAACUGCUUCAUUUGUUAAAAGUGAAAUCAUUGCCAUGUGGAUUAGUGAAGGAUUUCUUCACGAGACCUCGAAUGACUUAGAAGAACUCGGAAGCAUGUACUACAAGGAGUUGAUACUAAGGAAUCUUAUAGAGCCAAAUACGAAGUAUGCUGAUCAAGGUGUUUGCAACAUGCAUGAUGUUGUAUGCUCAUUUGCUCAAUUUGUGGCUAGAGAUGAGGCACUAGCAGCUCACAGUGGAGAAACUAAUAUUGUUAGUAAACUUGGUGCACAUGAGUUUGUUAGGUUAUCUCUAGAAAGCAAAGCAUCAGAAUCAGAUGGGUUAGGCUGGGGUACUUUGCAAGCAAAAAGGGCAUUAAGGGUCCUAAUAUUAGUCGGCAAUAUAAAUAUCAAGCCUGGUGAUUCUUUGGUUCAUUUUCCAUGCCUACGAACUUUACAUAUAGAUUCUGCACAUGUUGCAGCAUUGCUUGAAUCUUUGCAUGAACUCAAGCACCUGAGGUACUUGUCCUUAAAGAACACUGACAUGCCUAGUCUGCCUGAUAGCAUUGGAAAGAUGAAGUUCUUGCAGUACAUUAACCUUCGUGGAUGCCGGCAACUUGUGAAACUUCCAGGCAGCAUUGUAAAAUUAGGGCAGCUAAGGUAUCUGAACUUCAGUAGAACAAAUAUAGAUGGCACACCUAGGGGUUUCUGUGUUCUAACAAAUUUGAGAAUACUAUAUGGGUUUCCAGCCCAGCAAGAUGGUGAUUGGUGUAGUUUGGAAGAGUUGGGUCCUCUUUCUCAGCUCAAGCAUCUUGAAUUGGACGGAUUGGAGAAUAUAACUGCUUCCUCAUCUGCAGCAAAGGCAAAACUUGCCGACAAGGUGCAUCUUACUAUUCUAUUCUUAAAUUGUGGUAGUAUAUUGGGAGAUGAUGGGCUGAUUAAAGAGGAAGAUUGCGUGUCUGAGGAAGCGCAACAACAAAUCGAGAAGUUGUUUGAUGAGCUCUGCCCUCCGUCCAGGUUAGAAACUCUUUACAUCAGAGGAUAUUUUGGCCAACGGCUCCCAAGGUGGAUGAUUUCAUCACUAGAUGUGCCCCUCAAGAACUUAAGGAUUCUGUUCAUUGCCGACCUAGCAUACUGCACACAGCUUCCUAUUGGUUUGUGUCAACUCCCUUAUUUGGAGCUCAUUCAGAUCAAUCGUGCUCCAGCCAUCAAGCUUGUUGGACCUGAUUUCCUGCAGUCCUACCAUCACCACAGUCCUCGUCCUUCCCAAAUGCUGCCUGCAUUUCCAAGAUUGCAUGAGAUGAAUUUAAUAGGAAUGGUGGAAUGGGAGGAGUGGGAGUGGGAGGAGCAAGUGCAUGCCUUUCCUGUCUUGCAGCAACUUAUGCUAGCACGGUGCAAAUUGAAAUGUCUUCCUCCUGGCCUUGCCUACCAGGCAAGGGCUUUGAAUAAAUUAAUCAUAUACUAUGUCCAGGGUCUCAUCUCUGUAGAGAACUUUCCAUCUCUGGUCGAGCUGAAACUGGCUAUAAACCUUGACGUCAAGAGGAUCUCUAAUCUUCCGAGAUUGCAGAAGCUUACCAUCCAAGACUGCCCAAAGCUGAAGGCACUAGAAGAUGUUCCUGCACUCCAGCGGCUCAUACUCACAAAAAAAGAUAUGGAGACACUCCCAGAAUACAUGGGAAGUAUAAACCCAAGUCAUUUGGAGCUAUACUGCAGCCUAGCACUACUCGCUUCCAUAGCCACGGGACAAUCUGGCCCUGAGUGGGACAAGUUCAGGCAUGUCGAGCAUGUCAAGGCAUAUGCAUGUGAAGGAGAUAAUUCAAGGAAAUGGUAUGUCUUGUACACAGCUAAUCCCUACAGCUUGGAGACAAAUGUCAACCUCUGUGCUUUCAUGUCUAGAGGAACCUUAACUUCUUUUGAGGACACACAAAGAUUUGAGUCUGUCUUUAAAAUGACAAGAAAAACCUUUAGCUACAUCUGCAGCUUGGUUUAUGUGCCGUCAUUGGAAGAUAUGAACAACUACACCUUUGAUGACGGGAGGUUACUGUCUUUAAAAGACCGAGUAGCCAUUGCUCUGAAAAGGUUAUACUCUAGUGAGCCACCGGAGAUCAUAGGAUCCUCUGUCAGUGUGAGUGAGUCAACUGUCUUGUUGGUAAGUGAGAGGUUCGUUGAUGCUGUGUACAAGCGAGCAAAGAACCAUGGGUGCUGGCCAGACUCCAGUAAAAUGGACAACAUCAAAUCCAUGUUUGACAAGAUCCACAAUAUGCAUAACUGCUGCGGUGUUAUAUGUACAACUCACAUCCCAUUUGGACCAAACUGGGACUGUGAGAAGAAUGACAGCAUUCUAGUUCAGCUCGUCAUCGAUCCAGAAAUGAGGUUCAGGAACAUUUGGUGGGGACCGGUAAGCAGCAUGAACCAGUCAAGCAUUUUGCAUGAAUCUAAUUUGUUCAAUGAGUGCGAGGAGGGCGGUUACCUGAACGGCAGCAAGCUGAAGGUGGCACUAGAUGGAUCAGAAGUCGGGGAAUACAUAAUUGGUGAUGCAGGAUUCCCUCUUCUCCCGUGGCUACUCACACCUUACCAGGAAGAAGACCUCUUAGACUCCAAGGCGGAGUUCAAUAGGAGACACAAUGCAGCCACAAACUGUGCUCUGAAGGCGCUGGCAAGGUUCAAACACACGUGGAAGUACCUGCAGGGAGAGACGUCAUGCCUUGUCAAUCCGGACACACUAGUUGAAACAAUCUAUGCUUGCUGCUACUUGCAUAACAUAGUCAUAGAUAUGGAGGAUGAUGGGGCCAUGCCGAGCCCCAAGCGGAGGAAUCGCUCCAAGGAAGUGCGCCAGUUAGCAAACGAGGAUGCUGUGAGGGCGAGGGAUAUGCUGUCACAAUACUUCUUGACCAGCAUGUCAUCCGAAUCUGGAGUUGGCCUGGCGGACCUUGAAGUCGCUGCCACAGGCUCAGGCGAUGAAGGCAAGGAACAAAAAGCACAGACAAGAGCAUCAAAGGAAGAGAGACGUGAUGGUGGCAGGGAAGCCUUGAUUGUUCUGCUGGAAUGGAGCAUUUUUAAGGCAUGGAUGCCGAGCUGCCCUGGCAAUGGAGCCAAACAGCACUUUGUUGCUGCAGCAUGA